CACGUAGGGGGCAAGCGUUGUCCGGAAUUAUUGGGCGUAAAGGGCUCGUAGGCGGUCUGUUGCGUCAGGAGUGAAAACUCGGGGCUUAACCCCGAGCCUGCUUCUGAUACGGGCAGACUAGAGGUAUGCAGGGGGAGAACGGAAUUCCUGGUGUAGCGGUGAAAUGCGCAGAUAUCAGGAGGAACACCGGUGGCGAAGGCGGUUCUCUGGGCAUUACCUGACGCUGAGGAGCGAAAGUGUGGGGAGCGAACAGG
rnacentral:rRNA from 1 species